UGCAUUCACUACUGUAAGUCGCUCUGGAUAAGGGCGUCUGCUGAAUGAUUAAAA
rfam:Salmo salar isolate Sally breed double haploid chromosome ssa13, whole genome shotgun sequence.